rnacentral:rRNA from 1 species
GACAGAGGGGGCAAGCGUUGCUCGGAAUUACUGGGCGUAAAGGGCGCGUAGGCGGGAUGGCAAGUCGGUCGUGAAAUCCCUCGGCUCAACUGAGGAUCGUCGAUCGAUACUGCCGUUCUUGAGGAUUGCAGAGGAGACUGGAAUUCCCGGUGUAGCGGUGAAAUGUGUAGAGAUCGGGAGGAACACCGGUGGCGAAGGCGGGUCUCUGGGCAAUUCCUGGCGCUGAGGCGCGAAAGCGUGGGGAGCAAACGGG